UUUCUAUGAUGAGUACGGGUGUAGCAAUCCCGGGGCCCUAGCUGGUUACCUUUCCUAAAAAGGCGAAAGCCAAGGUGUUUACCGUGCCAAAGGCUGAAUGGCCCUGCGUUAUUGGGUCUCGAACGGUUACCUCCGCCUUGCCAUAGUGAUGGUUUUACCCACCUCAAGGCCUAUAAACAGUUCAGAAUGAACGAAGAUCCACAUAUGGGAAGCCUACAUCAAGGAAAUUCUCGAAUUCACAUCGUCCUCGAAGAUCCAAGGAAGUUCUGCGUUCAUUGUGGAUAGUUUUAUUUGUGAUAUAGAAUAAUGGAAGGAAGAAAUUUAAUUCACACUCAUCCAAGAAGAGGAAGGAAAAAGACUUGAAAAAUAGUUGGUGUAUAGUAUAUGUGUCCUUAAUAACCGAAAUAUAUCGUGUAGAUAUUCGUAUUAGUGAUAGGAAAUAUUUUUAUCGCUUACAUAAAUGACAAAAAAAUGAAAAAAAAAUAAAAAAUAGAAAAUGACAAAAAAAUUCAAAAGAGAAAACGACAAAAAAAAAUUAAAAGGGAAAACUACAAAAAAAAAUUAAAAGGGAAAACGACAAAAAAAAUAAAAAAUAAAAAUAUUACAGCAAAAAACCACAGAAUUUCCUUCAAUUUGUGUGAGAAACAUAUUGCAUAGCUUAAAUGUAUAUAAAAAUGUUACGUAUAAAAUAUAAAUCGAAGAAACUUUGUAAAUUCAUAAGAAAUAUACUACAACUACGUAUUAUGUACCUAUUCUUUUGAAGUUUAUGAUGACAAUCUAAUAUAUUUCCAUCACUGAAAUCUUCCAAACACGGAAUUUGAACUCUUUUUACCAGAUGAAUUUUUCAUAACUAUCAGAGUUUCAUAUUUAUGUCAUCAAUUCCUUCAAAUUAUAUUUGAAUUCAGUGAAAAUAAUAAAUAUGAAAAUAUUAGUUGUCACCCUAUUCUACAAGAGCAAUACUUAUUAUAUUUAUAAUUGCUAUACACUUCUCUUACAAUUCAAUCAAUAUAUUAUGUAUUGUUAAUCGACCUAACCAUUAAAUAUUAGUUAAUAACUUUUAUUUCUAGUUCAAGUUAUAUGUAUUGUGUACUGAAGGAGAUAAAUCUAUAUUGGACUUGGUGAAAUAAAUAUUAGUAAUUGUCUUUUUAUGAUGCUUCCAUACAAAAUGACAUCUACAACGGAAGGAUGGAAGGUGAUGAUUAAAUGUACAGUUUAUGAAUGGUAAUAUGUUCUGGGUCAAGUUUAAUGUUAGUUUUUAAUUAAUAUUUUAUGGAACAGGCAGGUGGCUCAAGGAUUGAAAGUUUCGGGUAGUGAAUCACAUUGAAAAUCUUCAUAGAGAUCAAAGUUUAACAUAUCUUUCGAAUCCGCUUGUAUGACAAAUACAGUUUCAAAUUCCAUGUAAGAAAAUAUUUUUGGGUGGAAUAAAAAAUUUUCUUGAAGAAUUUGACAACAGAAUACCUAACGCUUUAAAAAUAUAUUCAAAAUCUUUUGUGAACCUCCAAAGUUGUAUAAUUUGAAGGGGAGCUUAACCUCCCCUGCCACCGCAUCUAAUGUCUUAUUUAAGCCUACUGUUCCUAUGUCUAAACCGGCAAUCCUUGAUCCAUUUCCUUUUAAUCCAUAAAUAUUAUCUGCUUUGUAUAGUGGCAAUGCGCUCAACAAUUCUUAUCAGACAUUGGAAGAUACUAUAAUAAUUGUAUAAUAUCAUGAAUUGAUGAAUAAUUUGUAAUUGAUAUGUGAAUUAGCAGAUUAAGAUAUCUCUUAGGUAUAAUUAUAAUGUUUCCCAUUAUAUAAUCAAUGUUACAUAAUUAAUUGGUAAAAUUAACAGUAUAAUUCUAAUGAGUAACGCAGAAUUUAUUCAAAGCAGGAGGCAGCACCUACAAGCUUUAAAUUAUGUCUAUGUGCUUUACUUUUUUAGAUACAUAGCUCCUAAGCAAAUGGCUUUUUCAUACUAUAAGAUUAGCUGUAGUUUUAUGUUGUUAUAUAGUAGUUGUUAAUAUAGUUGUAGAACUUGGUAUUUAAGAUGGGAUCUGACCAGGAUCCUGAACUAUUUUAUGGGGAUUAUCACUUAGUUGUAUUGAGUUCAUUGUCGAAAAUGAAGGUGUACACAGUUGGAGUGAAGUGAACUACAGUGAAACCACAUUUUUCCACGUGAACUAUUCAUGAUAGAAAUAGCUACGACCACAGUAUACCAUCAUAUACCUAUAUUCAGAAGAUGGAUUGUAUUGCAAAAUGGAACAUCCGUUUCGCAAUCACCUACAUCAAGAAGGGUGAGGUUUCUCGAUGAUACAGAAAUAGGAAUGAUAUUGACGUCACCUGUUCCUCCUGAGCGACUACAAUCAAUGAGAUAUUGGCAUAAAUGACGGUGCCGUGAAGGGAUAA